CCCCUCGUAGUUCAAUGGACAGAACAGUCCCGUCCUAAGGGAUAGAUAGAGGUCCGAUUCCUCUCGAGGGGA
rnacentral:tRNA from 1 species